UACAGAGGGUGCAAGCGUUGUUCGGAAUUACUGGGCGUAAAGGGCGCGUAGGCGGCCUUACAAGUCAGAUGUGAAAGCCCGAGGCUUAACUUCGGAAGUGCAUUUGAAACUGUAAGGCUAGAGUUCAGUAGAGGUUGGCGGAAUACCCAGUGGAGAGGUGAAAUUCGUAGAUAUUGGGUGGAACACCGGUGGCGAAGGCGGCCAACUGGGCUGACACUGACGCUGAGGCGCGAGAGCAUGGGUAGCAAACAGG
rnacentral:rRNA from 1 species